AUGCUAGCCUCGCCGGCGCUCGCCGGCGCCACCCACUCCUUCCCGGCCUUCGUGUCGGGCAGCCGCGGCGUCCACCUCCCGUGCGCCUCCGCGCCCUCGCACUCGCCGGCGCGGCGGGCCGCCCUGGUCGUCCUCGCCAAAGCCAAGGUGUCCACGCCCAAUGCCGACCGCAUCGCCCGCCACGACCGCCUCCGCAAGAAGGUUAGCGGCACCACGGAGAGGCCAAGACUCAGCGUUUUCCGCUCAAACAAGCAUUUGUAUGCUCAGGUGAUCGACGAUACAAAGUCGUGCACUCUGGCUUCAGCCUCAACAAUGCACAAAGCUCUUUCAAAGGAGCUUGAGUACUCUGCUGGGCCAACAACUGAAGUGGCACAAAAGAUUGGUGAAGUGAUUGCCAAGUCCUGCUUGGAGAAAGGAAUCACCAAAGUGGUGUUUGACCGAGGGGGUUUCCUCUACCAUGGCCGCAUCAAAGCUCUAGCCGAUGCUGCUAGAGAGAACGGACUUGAGUUCUGA
rnacentral:rRNA from 1 species